UAAACACUCCUUAGAUGCACCUCCUUUGGGAUUAUCUGUGUUCUGUUUUGCUGGUGGUUCUCUUCACCCUGGUGUUGGAUUCUGCAAUGUGCUGACAGCUUACACUCAUCAACUUUGAGGUUGCUCAGUUGAAGGUGCUUGAGUCAUUGGUGUGUGGGAGUAAUACCCCUGCAUUGCAGCCCAUCUGUUCUGAUGUCAAUGAGCAGGCUGUUAUGUACCACUUUGCUGCUGUGUGAACAUG